rnacentral:rRNA from 1 species
UACAGAGGUCUCAAGCGUUGUUCGGAUUCAUUGGGCGUAAAGGGUGCGUAGGUGGCGCGCUAAGUCGGGUGUGAAAGCCCUCGGCUUAACCGAGGAAGUGCAUUCGAAACUACUGGACUUGAGUACUGAAGAGGGUCGCGGAAUUCCCGGUGUAGAGGUGAAAUUCGUAGAUAUCGGGAGGAACACCAGUGGCGAAGGCGGCGACCUGGGCAGAUACUGACGCUGAGGUGCGAAAGCGUGGGGAGCAAACAGG